rnacentral:tRNA from 1 species
GCGCUGAUAGCUCAGCUGGAUAGAGCACUUGACUACGAAUCAAGAGGUCGGGGGUUCGAAUCCUCCUCAGCGCGCCA